rnacentral:lncRNA from 1 species
CAUGCAUGGAAUAUGCUAGAGGCAUGUUCUCGAAAUAAUCCUGAUCCAGAAAAUCUUUUCCUGAACUACACCUGGACAUAGCUUCAGGUUGAGAUUCUUGCAAAGCAGCGAGCCCUUUCCUGGGAGCUGGGCUUAGCAGUUUGCAUUACAGCCUGAAGGAGAUGUCACUGGAGACCAUCAAGCUGUGUGCUCUGUUUUCGGAAAAAAAGCUGCAGUCCAAAGGCUGAAGCCACUGCUAUUUGAAGGAUUUUACAUUCCAAGAUGUUAAAAAUUCAAAUGUCACCCACACACCUGCAGAGCACGUGGCCACCUUAUUCACAUUCCUUCCUCUCUUGAAUCACCGGGAAGAAGGCAAGCAGCUGCUUGUGAGAUGGCAUAAUAUUGAUUAACGGUGUCUACAGGAAAUCAGCUCAAGACAAUUAAUUUUUACAGCGCCAGUCCUGUACUUUCAAGCACUCUAUUAAAAUUAUGCAUUGUUAAUUGAUACUGCUGGGAAUUAGGAGCAAAGACCAGUUUGCCAAAAAAAGAAAGCAGGACACAACUCUGUUGCAUAUUCAUAUUGACUUUCUACUUAAUAAUCCAGUGGGGAGGGGAAAUCAGAGCUGUGAUCUAUCAAACCCAUUAUAGAUGAAAAAUUAUUGCCCCUUUCCUUUUAUUUUUAAGUCAUGAACAUU